rnacentral:rRNA from 1 species
CAGGGGUAGCUUGCUACCCGCUGACAAGCGGCGGACGGGUGAGUAAUGCAUAGGAAUCUGCCCGGUAGUGGGGGAUAACCUGGGGAAACCCAGGCUAAUACCGCAUACGUCCUACGGGAGAAAGGGGGCUCCGGCUCCCGCUAUUGGAUGAGCCUAUGUCGGAUUAGCUAGUUGGUGAGGUAAUGGCUCACCAAGGCGACGAUCCGUAGCUGGUCUGAGAGGAUGAUCAGCCACAUCGGGACUGAGACACGGCCCGAACUCCUACGGGAGGCAGCAGUGGGGAAUAUUGGACAAUGGGCGAAAGCCUGAUCCAGCCAUGCCGCGUGUGUGAAGAAGGCCCUCGGGUUGUAAAGCACUUUCAGCGAGGAAGAACGCCUAGUGGUUAAUACCCACUAGGAAAGACAUCACUCGCAGAAGAAGCACCGGCUAACUCCGUGCCAGCAGCCGCGGUAAUACGGAGGGUGCAAGCGUUAAUCGGAAUUACUGGGCGUAAAGCGCGCGUAGGUGGCUUGAUAAGCCGGUUGUGAAAGCCCCGGGCUCAACCUGGGAACGGCAUCCGGAACUGUCAAGCUAGAGUGCAGGAGAGGAAGGUAGAAUUCCCGGUGUAGCGGUGAAAUGCGUAGAGAUCGGGAGGAAUACCAGUGGCGAAGGCGGCCUUCUGGACUGACACUGACACUGAGGUGCGAAAGCGUGGGUAGCAAACAGGAUUAGAUACCCUGGUAGUCCACGCCGUAAACGAUGUCGACCAGCCGUUGGG